CCUUCCACUGGUGCUCUUUCAUUAUUAGGAUUGUGUCUCCCACUUCUCCUAGCAGCAGGGCAGGUGUGGCUGCUGUCUGCACUCAGUGUUCUGACCUAUGAACAUAUGAAUGGCUAGUAGACUGACAUA
ensembl:snoRNA LOC120095771 small nucleolar RNA SNORA17